UAGAAGUAUCUCAACUAAGUACAUACAAGUUUACCCUUAAGAAUACCUUCAUUGGAACAAAAUUAACCUAACAAUAACUAAUAAAAUUGUCCAUCCGAUAGUUAAGGGUCUUAGAUACAACUUGUAAAGUUAUCCUCCCUUGCAAUUUACAGGCCAGUGAUAAAGUUGAAAUCAAUCAUUGUAGAUCAAAUUUCUUGGAGUUUUAGAGAUCAAACUCUCAACGUAUUGAAGCAUAACUCCCUAGAAAAUGAAAAAAUUAAGAAGAUUGAAAGGAUGACUCCAUUAACACACAAAUAAUCCUCAAGCACCAUUGUUUUUCAUCAAAGGGCAAUGAUCCCCUGUGGGAAGUCACCUAGAAUAAAAAUCGAGGGCGUAAGAAGAUCAGAUACCAUCCAAACAAAAAAAUUGAAUACGAAAAAGUAAAAAUGUCCAUGUAAAACUACAAUCUCGUUUAGAGGGGCAACCCAAUUCAGGCUCAGAAGUUGAAACUACUGUAUUAACAACCCAAAGGAGAAGUUAAGCAAUUUAACAACACAACAUAGUACUGACAAUCAAUUGUUUACUCAAAUUUCAGCAGUAAGAAAGGUAUUUAUAGUAAAUUUAUGAAGUAUUUUGAUGGUAUCCAUCUUCUUUUUCAAUUUGUAACUGUUUGCUAACUUGUAGAUUGAUGGAAUCACACUUGGAAAAGGAAUGAAUUUCAAAUAUGAAGUUUUGAAGAUCCACUCUGCCAUACAUGUAAAUAUUACCAUCAUAAGCAGCAACCAAAUUAAUCAUAAAGUAGUAAUACUAAUAAUUUAUCUGUGCAGGUCAAAUUUUUGAUAACAAAUGAGAGAGCACUUACAUGUGAAGAGAAGUGCAACCACGCUUGAGAGGCAAAACUCUUUUAGCGCCAGAUGUGUAGAUACCUAUAAUUUCUAAUGAUCAAAGUAUGAGCACCUAAUCCAAAAAAAUGUGUACAAUCAAGUAAAUUUUAUGUAUUUCGAUAAACAACACACAAAUUUAACAGCCAAGGAGAUAAUUUCCAUGAAAUUGUUUGGGGAAAGAUCACAUCUGUUAUUUCUGGAAAAAGCUCCACGAAUAUGUUCACUCUUCAACUUUAUCACCUCUGUCAACAACAACAACAACAUACCCAGUGUAGUCCCACAACUUGAUUGUCUAUGUCAAAUAGAGAUAUAUAUGUUUUCUCUCCACACUUAAGAAUCCAAAUGAACCAAAAGGAAAAAUCAGCUAGUAAAAAUUUGAAUUAUCUUUCAUGAAAUGUUUAAAUAACAAAUUUACUAAAGUAUUCUUGCAUAUAGAUCAAGUAUUAACCAUAUUUCUAGUGAGUUGCUGAGACUCGCACACAAAGGGAGAAUCAUGUUCAUCUAUGUCAUUACAAACAUACAGAGCAUCAAACUAUGAACACAAUGCUUUUGUGUCAUGAAUUUGUAGAUGCACUUCUCCUUGUUCUUUUGGUAAUCUUCACUGAAGAGUUGCUUUUCUUAUGAAAGCUUUUCAUUCAUCGAAAAUAUCUAUAUUCUUAAUAAAUAAAGGUACCAAUAUCUCAAAUAAUAAGAUAACACUUGUAUUGUUGAUGUGGCUUUCUAUCAUGUGUUUUGAGUUUAACCACAGGUUCUAAACUUCAUAAGACAGGUUAAUUCUCUUGCAAAAAUAAUUGAGAUGGCGUAAGAGGCUAGGGUAUAAAACUCAAAGGAUUGCUAACGUGGUGAACUCCCAGGAAGACACUUAAGGAACAUAAUAACAAAAGAACUAUGAUCAAAAUAAGAGUAUAGUUUUCUCCAAAAAUUCCAAUAAACUUAAAUUAUCAAGAACAAACACAAAACAAAAAAAGAUCCAUAAACAUAAUAAAGAAGCCUAAAGUUAUAGUUUAUCAAUAAAAUAAAAUAAAAAGCCUGAAGUAAUGACUGAAGAUUAUCCUAAGAUAGAGCAAGCUAAUAAAAUAAUGCAUAGUGAUAACUCGACAACCAUAAAUAAGAGAGAACAAAGAAUUCUGACUUGCAUGUUUUAGUAAAUAUUUCAUCAAAUAUAACAAAACAAAAGGCCACAAGGAGUCAUUAGGAUUAUUUGCUAAGGAGACCUAUGACUGGGAGGAUUCUCUAUUUGGUUAAUCAGUUGUACUAAUGCUUCGAUUGCAAAUGAAUUAUCUUACAUGUAAAGUCUAAGACAAAUUUAAAAGAUGAUAUGUUAGAAGCUCAAGUAAAGUCUAGUUGCAAAAUAUAGAUAAGUAGGAAGAUAAAUUUAAUAGUAGAAUAAUCAAUUACCUUUUAUUUGUCUAUAAUGUGCACGAUAACAUGGACAUUGGGUAGGUUAACAGCAAGCCAGUAUCUCACGGAUCAAAUUGCAAGCGGUGUUAAAUUUACCUGGACACAGAUCCACAACUAAAUCUUGAUAUCCUCACGGGUGGUCUCUAUUGCAGGUAACAAAAUCUUCUAUCGACGGUUAAAAAUGGACUUGAAAGUAACAGACUAUCACUAUGAGCUACUCUAGUAGUCAAACCUGAUAAAACCUGAAACCUUAGGAUAAACAUCUCGAAAUUCGACCAUUACAUAUGCAAUCGAGCUAACUGCAGAGGCAGAGGAGAACUUCCCUAAAAAUCCUAGAAUGCAUCAUCUGACCAGUAAUGACAAUAAUAUGAUUUCUCUUGAGCUCCUUAGGAAGUUGGUCGUGGAAUUCAACAAAAAAAUAAAGUGAAAACUUAAACGA
rnacentral:lncRNA from 1 species